GCAGUCACACUAUGGGCUUCCCACGCAUCCCUAUGGGCUCCCACGCAUCCCUAAUGAGGCUCCCCAUGUAUCCCCAUGUAUCCCUAUGGCUCCCUAUGCAUCCCUAUGGGCUCCCCACGUAUCCCUAUGGGGUCUCUGGGUCUCUAUGGGGUCUCUUUGGUCCCAUGUAUCCCUAUGGGCUCCCCACGCAUCCCAUAUGGGGUCCCCAUGUAUCCCAUGUAUCCUAUGGGCUUCCCCAUGUAUCCCUAUGGGCUCCCCACGUAUCCCUAUGGGCUCCCCACGCAUCCCAUGGGCUCCCCAUGUAUCCCCAUGUUCCCUAUGGGCUCCCCAUGUAUCCCUAUGGGCUCCCCAUGCAUCCCUAUGGGGUCUCUAUGGUCCCCAUGUAUCCUAUGGGGUUUCUAUGGUCCCCACGCAUCCCUAUGGGCUCCCCAUGUACUCCCUAUGGGUCUCUAUGAGGUCUCUAUAGGUCCCCAUGUAUCCCUAUGGGCUCCCCAUGUAUCCCUAUGGCUCCCCACGUAUCCCUAUGGGCUCCCCACGUGUCCCUAUGGCUCCCUAUGGCUCCCCAUGUAUCCCUAUGGGGUCUCUAUGGGGUCUCUAUGGUCCCCACGCAUCCCUAUGGGCUCCCCAUGUAUCCUAUGGGCUCCCCUGUAUCCCCAUGCAUUCCCUAUGGGCCCCCAUGUAUCCCAUGCAUCCCUAUGGGCUCCCCAUGUAUCCCUAUGGGCUCCCCAUGGGCUCCCCAUGUAUCCCUAUGG
rnacentral:lncRNA from 7 species